AACCCAUAUUGAGGACAUUUCUGCAGGAGGUCAUUGAACCUUUCCCAUGUCUCAAAGAGAGACUCCAACUCUGAUUACACAAAAGAAGAAAUUUCAUUCUUGAACUU